AAAAAGGGUCUGACGACUGCCCAAACCUCACCGUGAACCAUUUUUCUUAUUGAUGCUCUGGCAGGCCGCCCGCUGGGGGGGCUCAGGCCGCGGUUUCGCGGUGGUCUGCCGGUGGCUCGCAAACCAAAACUCUUUUGAACGUCUCUCUGAGAAUAUCUAACUCCUCUUAGCGGGAGAAAAAAAAAGUCA
rnacentral:misc_RNA from 1 species